GUGUAGCAUUCCCAAGGCCAGGCAGCCGCUUCUGUCAUCGUGAUCACAUCCGGAAUCAUUUCCCCAGGGUGACCCGAUAGCCACUGGCCAGCCUUUUCAUAGCUUCUGGUGACUACUUGAAUUCCCUGGCUGACCAGCCCUUUCUCUGUCUUCAGAGUCUAACCUCCCAAUCACAGCUUCCAUCAGCACCAUCCCCUUUCCUCUCCUGUGACAAAUUUUUCUCUGCCUCCUUUUUGUGAGGGGGGAGGGUAGGGGGUAGCAGGGAUGGAACCUAGACCUUUGUACUGAGCCCAGACCUUUAGUCCUUUGAUGUUUAUUUAUUUAUUUUGGAGGCAGGGCCUUGCUAAGCCACCUGGGCUCUAACUUCUCCUAGCCUCCUGCCUCAGCAUCCCUAAGUGCUAGGAGUACAGGCAGGUGCCGCCACACCCAGCUCUCCGCCUGCCUCUUACAAGAGCCCUGUGAUCCCAGCGGGCCUGUGCAGCGAAUCCAGCAUCGUUUCCCCAUCCCAGGACUUCAGCUUCUUCACAUCCGCAGCUGUCCUUUGCGCAUAAGGCUGAUCCUGGGGACGAGAGGACAUGGCACUGGGGCUGGCCCUGAGGCCACGCGGCCGACCUUCUCCGCCCUUGCCCUCUCGGUGAGUUUGCUUGCAGCACCCACGGGCCCUGGCUUCAGAGACAGCUGGACCUGUGAAGGUGGAAGGAACCUGGGAACCAUGGUCAUCCCACAGGUCUCACCCGGGGGCUAACAGGCACCAAGCCCUGUGCUGGCUGUCAGUGGAGACGACGUUGCCUCCCUUGCACUCCAGGUCCCCAGGCAGAGGCGGACACUGUUUACCGCCCCCUCCACCCGGCCUUUGCCUGAAAUCCUGCAGUGUCUUGGAUUCUCCUCUUUCCUGGCCUGCUCCCUUCUGCUCCCCUGGAAGCACUUAAUGAAUCACUCUGGGAGCCCACCUGAAACCCGCAUUUUAAAACACGCAUUCUGCACCAUAACAGGCCUGUGUGGUUUUGACGGAAAACAUCAUCUAUACAUACGUGUUUUGUUCUCACACCUUCAAAUAAGUUGCUCUGAGAUGCAGCAAUCAAAAACCUGGCCACACAGCACGCCGGCCCCAACCUGGUUCAGAUUUCUUUAUUGAAAAAUUAAAG